rnacentral:rRNA from 1 species
GAUGAACGCUGGCGGCGUGCCUAAUACAUGCAAGUCGAACGAGGUGCUUUUGUAGCAAUACGAGAGUAUCCUCGUGGCGAACGGGUGAGUAACGCGUUGGUGACCUACCCCAAAGUGUGGAAUAACAGUCCGAAAGGAUUGCUAAUACCGCAUGUGGUUAUCGGGUUUAGAAACUGAUAACUAAAGGAGCAAUUCGCUUUGGGAGGGACCUGCGUCCCAUCAGCUAGUUGGUGAGGUAAUGGCUCACCAAGGCUACGACGGGUAGGGGACCUGAGAGGGUGACCCCCCACAAUGGAACUGAAACACGGUCCAUACACCUACGGGUGGCAGCAGUAGGGAAUAUUGCACAAUGGGCGAAAGCCUGAUGCAGCAACGCCGCGUGCACGAUGAAGGCCUUCGGGUCGUAAAGUGCUUUUCUGGGAGAUGAGAAAGGACAGUAUCCCAGGAAUAAGUCUCGGCUAACUACGUG